UAGUGGGAAAGUUGACUGGAUUGAAAAGACGGGUUGAAAGCUUGGAAUCCAGUGGUGGGGGUGGUGCAAGGAUUAGAAAUGAAGUGCAUGAGCUAACAAGUAAAAGUAGGGACCUUACUACUGAAAGCAGCAACUUACGUGAACGGGAUAUGAGUUUAGAAAGAGAAGUGCAAGAUAAGAUCUCAAUUAUUGAUCGUUUGCAAUAAAGUACGGUGGAUCAAAGGGAUGGGUCUCUUGCCCUCAAUACUGUCAAAAUUAUACCGAUUUGGAGUCGCAACGAGGUUCCCGUGCACAACAAGCUAUCCACAGUUACAAUGGAACUUUACUGUGGAAGAUUGAAAACUAUCAGAGAAAACGGCAAGAUGCCACCCUCUGAAUGGAGAUGGCUUUGGAAAGGGAUCGCAUUUGUCUUUGUUUUUUGUUUUGACGAGAGUCGACUACGACGCUCUUCAAACCUGACCAUUUGAAAAGAAGAUCACGAUGAUGCUGUUGGAUCAAGGAAAUGGAGAUCAUAUGAUUGAUGCGUUUAAUUCAGAUCCUCGAACUGUUAAUCUUUCCGACGUCCGAAGUCUGACAUGAAUAUCGCUUCGGGUUCCCCGCUCUUUAUGCCACUCGAUAGCUUGAAUAAUCGUCAGUACAUCAAGGACGAUGUCCUGUUUAUUAAGAUUAUCGUCGACUGAACAAGAUGAUGUUGGUAGGACAAUUCCGUACGAUUAUAAAUAUAUAAAACAUUUUUUAAU